rnacentral:rRNA from 1 species
AUUGAACGCUGGCGGCAUGCUUUACACAUGCAAGUCGAACGGUAACAGGUUAAGCUGACGAGUGGCGAACGGGUGAGUAAUGCAUCGGAACGUGCCCGAUCGUGGGGGAUAACGCAGCGAAAGCUGCGCUAAUACCGCAUACGAUCUGAGGAUGAAAGCGGGGGACCGUAAGGCCUCGCGCGAUCGGAGCGGCCGAUGUCAGAUUAGGUAGUUGGUGGGGUAAAGGCCCACCAAGCCGACGAUCUGUAGCUGGUCUGAGAGGACGACCAGCCGAACUGGGACUGAGACACGGCCCAGACUCCUACGGGAGGCAGCAGUGGGGAAUUUUGGACAAUGGGCGAAAGCCUGAUCCAGCAAUGCCGCGUGCAGGAAGAAGGCCUUCGGGUUGUAAACUGCUUUUGUACGGAGCGAAAAGGUCCUUUCUAAUACAAGGGGCUCAUGACGGUACCGUAAGAAUAAGCACCGGCUAACUACGUGCCAGCCGCCGCGGUAA